AUGCUCCCUUCGGCAGCACAUACACUAAAACUGAAACAAUAGAGCAGUUAGCAUGUCCCCUGCAUAAGGAUGACAUGCAAAUUCAUGAAGCAUGCCACAUUUUU
ensembl:snRNA U6 U6 spliceosomal RNA